rnacentral:rRNA from 1 species
UACGAAGGGGGCUAGCGUUGUUCGGAAUCACUGGGCGUAAAGCGCACGUAGGCGGAUUGUUAAGUCGGGGGUGAAAUCCUGAGGCUCAACCUCAGAACUGCCUUCGAUACUGGCAAUCUCGAGUCCGGAAGAGGUUGGUGGAACAGCUAGUGUAGAGGUGAAAUUCGUAGAUAUUAGCUAGAACACCAGUGGCGAAGGCGGCCAACUGGUCCGGUACGUGACG